rnacentral:rRNA from 1 species
GAUGAACGCUAGCGGCAGGCCUAACACAUGCAAGUCGAGGGGUAGAAGAAGCUUGCUUUUUGAGACCGGCGCACGGGUGAGUAACGCGUAUGCAACCUACCUUAUACAGGGGAAUAGCCCGAAGAAAUUCGGAUUAAUGCUCCAUGGUUUAUCGAUAUGGCAUCGUAUUGAUAAUAAAGAUUUAUCGGUAUAAGAUGGGCAUGCGUAUCAUUAGCUAGUUGGUGUGGUAACGGCAUACCAAGGCAACGAUGAUUAGGGGUCCUGAGAGGGAGAUCCCCCACACUGGUACUGAGACACGGACCAGACUCCUACGGGAGGCAGCAGUGAGGAAUAUUGGUCAAUGGAGGCAACUCUGAACCAGCCAUGCCGCGUGCAGGAUGACCGGUCCUAUGGAUUGUAAAACUGCUUUUGUACAGGAAGAACCUCUCUACGAGUAGAGACUUGACGGUACUGUAAGAAUAAGGAUCGGCUAACUCCGUGCCAGC